AUUAUUUUGGCAGAAGUAUAUGCGUUAGAUUUAGGAUUUAAUUAUAUAGGGUUCCUAUAAAUAAUA
rnacentral:tRNA from 1 species